rnacentral:sRNA from 1 species
GUGGAGCAGCAUCUCAGCAGAGUGGCAGGAUGCUAGGGGCUGAGGGCAGAGGAAGUCAGUUCAGCCUUGGUGGUGUGUCUUUGGAGAGCUGCUUCUCAGCCUGGACCCCCGUGAGAACACCCACCAAAUGCUGCCAGGAUAGGUAAACUGUAAAGAGCUGGCACCUGGAGGGGAAGGCUGAGGCCAAGGCUAGGAGAGGGGUUCUGGCAGGCCAGGCCUUGCAGUGCGGGCCACUAGCACGGUGCUGUGUUCUCUCCCUACACAGUCAAGGCUCAACAGGAAAGGGGAAGGAGCAGGGGUGGGGUUGAUGGUGGCUGGAGCCAGGUCCUAGCCCUGUCCCUGGCCCAGGCUCCCCUCCCACCCCAGGUGCUGAGGACAAAUCAGUUCUCUGUGACCAGACAUGAGAAGGUCGCCAACGGGCUGUUGGGCGACCAAGGCCUUCCCGGAGUCUUCGUCCUCUAUGAGCUCUCGCCCAUGAUGGUGAAGCUGACAGAGAAGCACAGGUCCUUCACCCACUUCCUGACAGGUGUGUGCGCCAUCAUUGGGGGCAUGUUCACAGUGGCUGGACUCAUCGAUUCGCUCAUCUACCACUCAGCACGAGCCAUCCAGAAGAAAAUUGAUCUAGGGAAGACAACGUAGUCACCCUUGGCGCUUCCUCUGUCUCCUCUUUCUCCCUGGCCUGUGGUUGUCCCCCAGCCUCUGCCACCCUCCACCUCCUCAGUCAGCCCCAGGUUGAUCAAUCUAUUGAUUGUGAUAGUA